CUUUUCCAUUAUUGGAAGCCUUGACCACUUCAAGCAUGAUGGAAUCCAUUCUCUUGCCUGCAGCAUUAGUGGAUGCUGGCGAGAUGACCAUCAAGGCUGAAGUAUGGCAACACUGUGCUGUUUGAGAGUAAACGGAGAGACAAGUUGCAAUUGAAAAUGUUAUCUUUUCCAUUAUUAGAAGCCUUGACUACUUCAAGCAAGUUGAAGGCAGAACACACCAAGCAUGAUGGAAUCCCCUCUCUUGUCCGGCAGCAUUAGUGGAAGGUGGGUACCAAGAAAACAUAUUAGGA